CUACGUGCCAGCAGCCRCGGUAAUACGUAGGUGGCGAGCGUUAUCCGGAAUUAUUGGGYGUAAAGGGUGCGUAGGCGGCCUGUUAAGUAAGUGGUUAAAUUGUUGGGCUCAACCCAAUCCAGCCACUUAAACUGGCAGGCUAGAGUAUUGGAGAGGAAAGUGGAAUUCCUAGUGUAGCGGUGAAAUGCGUAGAUAUUAGGAAGAACACCAGUGGCGAAGGCGACUUUCUGGACGAAAACUGACGCUGAGACGCGAAAGCAUGGGGAGCGAACAGGAUUAGAUACCGUGGUAGUCCAUGCCGUAAACGUUGGGCACUAGGUGUGGGGGACAUUCCACGUUUUCCGCGCCGUAGCUAACGCAUUAAGUGCCCCGCCUGGGGAGUACGGCCGCAAGGCUAAAACUCAAAGAAAUUGACGGGGGCCCGCACAAGCGGCGGAGCAUGCGGAUUAAUUCGAUGCAACGCGAAGAACCUUACCAAGGCUUGACAU
rnacentral:rRNA from 1 species